GACGAACGCUGGCGGCGUGCUUAACACAUGCAAGUCGAACGGAAAGGCCCUGCUUUUGUGGGGUGCUCGAGUGGCGAACGGGUGAGUAACACGUGAGUAACCUGCCCUUGACUUUGUGAUAACUUCAGGAAACUGGGGCUAAUACCGGAUAUGAGCUCCUGCUGCAUGGUGGGGGUUGGAAAGUUUCGGCGGUUGGGGAUGGUCUCGCGGCUUAUCAGCUUGUUGGUGGGGUAGUGGCUUACCAAGGCUUUGACGGGUAGCCGGCCUGAGAGGGUGACCGGCCACAUUGGGACUGCGAUACGGAGCAGAAUCCUACGGGAGGCAGCGGUGGGGAAUAUUGCACAAUGGGCGGAAGCCUGAUGCAGCAGCGCCGCGUGCGGGAUGACGGCUUUCGGGUUGUAAACCGCUUUCGCCUGUUACGAAGCGUGAGUGACGGUAAUGGGUAAAGAAGCACCGGCUAACUACGUG
rnacentral:rRNA from 1 species